UACGAAAGGUGCAAGCGUUGUUCGGAAUCAUUGGGCGUAAAGAGCACGUAGGCGGGAAUGUGUGUCGAUUGUGAAAGCCCAGGGCUCAACCCUGGAAUUGCAGUCGAAACUGCAUUUCUUGAAUACUUGAGAGGGUGGGGGAAUUCCUGGUGAAGCAGUGAAAUGCGUAGAUAUCAGGAGGAACAUCGGAGGCGAAGGCGCCUACCUGGCAAGAUAUUGACGCUGAGGUGCGAAAGUGCGGGGAGCAAACAGG
rnacentral:rRNA from 1 species